GUGAAAAGCAGCAAACUCCAUAACAAGAGGGAAAUCGAGACAAGAUCCCCGAUGGGGUAGGAUCCCUCCAAACAAGACGCAGCCGAGCCAGGAUCGCCCCGUGGCAGUUCCUUUGAUGACCACGUAACCCUGCUGGAGCGCGCACACGCACACGCUUGUGGACGACACCUGGAACGCGUCCCUUUGCGCCCUUUGGGUAAAUGAGAAAGCGAUGGUGAGAGUGAAGAACCCGCUGCUGCAGCCCCUCCGCCUCGCUUGCGCAGCUUCGCUGUGCUGUGCUCUGCACAGCUCCGCUCGUCAAGCCACAGAUAACACACAAGGCUCAGCUAUGAGCCUGAGGAGGAGGGAGAGGCGAAGGGAGGGAACGACGGGGAAGAUGCGGAGCUCCGCGCACUCCGGCAUGAACUGUCAGUUUUCUGUUUUUCUACCGUCUCAGCGGAGGCGCACUUUCAACAUCCUUAUAGCUCAGCCACAGACUCUCAAAGCGAGGUUGAGAUCUUUUCUCUUCCUAGAGUUUGGAUCCAACAUUUGCCUGACUUCUCCAAUCUCUUUCUCUAGCUCUCGCUUUAUUUCGCCCCCUGAAGACGUGAGGCAGUCUGGCUUGUUAACCCGGGGAGACCAAGACUGAUAGCUCUUUGUAUUACUCCACAAGAGAAUGAGAGAGAUUUUCAGACUUGAUAACGAAAGAGGGGAAAAAGGAGAAGAUGAGAAAAUGAAGGGGCUGGCAAGGAGAGUUGGGAGGGUGAGAUGGAGAAGUAGGGGCAAAAAAAGUGAGGAGAAGGGAUUGGGAGGAUGCAAGAAUGACGGAAAGGGAGAGAAAGAGGAGGAUGGGAGCAAGCUCAGGUGAAACUAAGCGAAGAUGAUGGGACAGAGGAAGGGAGGGCAGGGCAGGGGAGGGAAAGGGGAAGGGCAGAAGUACCAAGUGGGCCAGUCUAUGCAAAUCCUCCCCGAGCAGCGAGCAAAUCAGGGAGCCAGGCAGCCACUGCAGAGGAGUGGGCUGCCUUUAGUCACAGGGAGGGAAGAGGUAAGAGAGGAUCCAGGGAAUGAAUGGUGGAGGGAAAGAAGCAUGAGAGGUAGAUUUGUGAUUGUAGUCCUUCUAUAUGGUAUUCCCGGAAUUCCAUUUUUAGAUCCAGCAACGCAGAGCCACUUUUCCCCCGCAACGCUAUGUGACUUCUUCUCCCUCUAUGUUUUGAUGAUUCUCAAAGACUAUUGAAGCCCCAUCACUGAACGAGGAGAAGACGAAGAAGAAAAAAAACCCAUGCAUAAUGCACACAGUAAGAGAUUUGGUGAAUUUCAAAAGAGUAAAAUCUCUCUCCUCUCCGCAGCGAAGACAGAAAAGAAAGGCUGGCACUCCCUGCUCUGUCAAUCUUUUCUUCUGUUGUAGAAAGAGAGUGGGGCGGGGGUGAACUGUUUCCAGGCCUUGGGAGAAAUUCACACUGAAAAGUCAAAUAGCAGUUUAAUCAUGUUUGCUUUCAAACUUUAAUUUGAUCUGACUCCAGCGCUCGCUGUUUGCUGCUGACCUUUUGGAUUAAAUUGUAGAAAUUCCAAGACGACAGAAGCUGCUACGGCGCGGCGGAGGGUUCAUUGUUGUUCUGCAAUCGAGGCAAAAGGAGCUUUGUGGAGCGGCGGAGCGCGGCCGGGAACCCAGGGCUCCGGGAUCGGUUUGUUUUUUGUUGCAUUCGCCUGUCUGUUUGUGAUUUCACGUUUGGGAGGAGUGCUUUAUCUGACGUACCUGGUGGCACGGUCCUUUUGGCGCUCGUGAGUGCACAAACGUUUCAUAGGCAAAUAAAUGCCAGAGGAGAGGGAACAUCCUGCUACUCACUGAUCCGCAGAGGAGAAAUGUCUCAAAGGCGCAGAAUGUUCAGCUAAGCUAAAGUUAUUGCACACAGAUAAGGGGCGAAAGAAUGUGCACUUGAGUUCACAAGAAGAAAGCAUGUUUAAAUGUGUGUACUUCAGGUCAAGUCAAGUUUAUCUGUAUUGUACAUAAUACAAAUAAACUCAGCAACAAAGCAGUUCAAAGUGCUUAACAAUAAUGAAACAAGUAAUUGUCAAAUAUCAGCAUCAAAAUGGUAACAAAUAUGUUGAUGAAUGUUCCACUUACGACUACAACUAUCAGGUGGGCUUCAGUCUCGAUUUGAAAGAACUCAGUGUUUCAGCUGUUUAGCAGUUUUAUGGAAGUUUUGUUCCAGGUUUAAAUCAAGUAAUACCAAAGCACUGAAGUGAGCAAAGCGUUCUCGAGCUGCACAGAGUGACACAGUACUUCCCCUCCUCCACCUACUGCUACUCACAGACAAACAACCUGACUCCUACACUCUUCCCUCGCUCUAAACAAAGACAACUUUGGCUAUUUUUGAUGUUUCAGCUCCUAAACGUCAGAUUUUACUCUCCAUAUAGAGUUUCUAAUGUAUUUUUAAUCAUCAAAGCCCGUUUGUACUGGAGGGCAUUGUUGUACUUUUCCAUGUGCAAGAUUUAGUUAAAUGUCAACGAAUGGUGCAGAGCUGUGCGCAGAGUCUAUGUUAUACAUCUCAGAGAGAGCACAGACAGACUGAGCUAAAUAUAUUGCGAUGAAGAUUGAAUCUGAACGCGGCUAUUCUCAGAUUAAUCUGAGCACAAUUUGGUAACAAAAGAACAAACAAUGAAGUCGGUGCUAGGGUAAUGCUGUAACUCUAAGACCGCCUGUGCAAUGCUGCUGAUUGAAAUCUUUCACAGAGAAAAAUUUAUGCAUAAUGCACACAGUAAGAGAUACAAAGCCACCUCUGAUAUUUUGUACAAAUACUCUGCCAAUUAAUUAAAACUGAAAUUGCGUUAGCUUAUCUAUAGAUCGGGCAAUAAGUCAACCCAGUGCUUUCUAAAAAAAAUAAACAGAUACCCACAAGCAGAGUACAGCAUAAUUCUGAAAUGAAAGGAAAAGGAUGCAUCUUUGUUUUAUUUUUAUUUAUAGAUGAAAAUAAAAAUGUAAAACAUGUGGUUCUUGGGUAAAGCCUGCCCAUUUCAUACCAAUGAAUUGCAUUCUUUCUCUUCCAACUUCCACUACAUACACAUAAACAUACGAAUUUGUACCCAUAAACCACGGUGCGCAAGUUUAACUUUUAUUUUAGUUGGCCAUUUUUAUGUAUUGUGGUGAGAAAUUUGAAGAAAAUGCUCAAAUCAAAGUAUUUUUAUUCAGUUGUACAUUUCUGUAUUAACAAGCUUUGUAUUACACGUUAUAUCUAUUUUAUAAAUCCUAUUUGCGACCUCUGUAUAGACUAUCUGACUUUAAUAAAAUUACAACUCACGAUCCCUGAUCCAAGCACAAUAACUAAGUGACCUCCUGGUGGGGGAUAGUAUUUAUUGGAGUCAUGUAACCGCUUUUAAAAUCGUAUAAAUGCCCAGCAGCAGACGGCUCCAUUUGAUAGCCAAAGAUAUUGGGCUCAAAUGAUAAAAACCUAUAAGAUACAAAUGGCAAAGCUCACUUUGUAGAAGCACCGUUUUUUUCUCUGCCUUUACAUCUGCAAGCCUUUCGGUAUCUGGUUUUACCGCUUCUGAAAUUCCAAAAACUGAAAUGUUUGCCUUCUUUUUUGACUUUUAAAUCACAAUCUCCUGCUCAGUCAGAGUGGAUUGAAAGAUCCUCAGUUAGUUUGACAUGUGGACUUUGAUUGGCCUAUUUUAGCACAUGCUGUGAUCUAAAUACUUUCAUGAUAGAACCAGCUGUCUGUUUUCCAGCCUCGAUGAGGUUUUAUUUUCUAGGAUUUCUCUAUACGUGAAGCCAUCAUUUUUUCUAACGGUUCUGAAGAACUCCCUUGUCCCUGAAGCAAAGCAACCCCACAGUAUAAUGGCUCCACUGCCAUGGUUAUUGCUUUUUUCCCCCCAGUAAGCUAAUAUCAAAAUGUGCAUCAAUGGGAAGCUCUUUUUCGCUACAUCAAGUCCAUCACAAAACCUCUCUGCUGCGACAGCCACAUGCCAGCCGCCACCUGCAGGAGAGCUUUGGAUAAUUGGAGUGGCUGGGAAAUAUGGAAACUUUACGUUUAAAAUGCAUCAUAGUGUGUAAAAACAUCUAAGCACUAAAAUUCUCUUUAGUUUAAGACCAAAUGAGAGUGUUAUUGUAGAGAACAGAAGAUCAUAACCCUCCAAAACCCCUGCAGCCAAAACGAACAAUCUAGAAGGCAGCUACUGUCUUCACAGCGCUGCACAGUAUACAAUCUUCUUGAAAUAACACAGCUGUUGCUCUGUGCUCUGGCUUUCAACUGAUUCAAAUAUCUGGACAUGAGACGGGCACGCUUGGUCGCCUGCAUGCCAGCCGCAACAGCAGCUCUGCGGCCGCUUUUCUUUUUUUUUUCUUCUUCUUUAUAUUUGCAUAGACGUUCACUGAAGCAUAGGCAAGCAAGCCACCUGUAUACCACAGGCACAGGGGAGCGGAUUAUACCGUGACCCAUAACUUGAUCUCCUGUUGCUUGAGCCACACCUGAAAUACCUGAAUCUGAAAUUUUCUGCUAGUUUUUUCUUUUUUUUUUUCUUCCACCCCUUCCGAAGUCGGCAACCGCAAAAAAAAAAAAAAAGAAAAAAGAAAAAAGAGAAAAAAAUCUUUGGGAGCGUGGCGUCUCAUGCUGACUCAGUAAUGAAGUCUCGUCAGGAUCGGAGCUAAUUAGUGUUUUACAUUAUGAUUCCUCGGCGGUGUCUGUGUGUGACAGAUGAAGUCUGCUCCGCUUUGCCCCGCGUGCAGGCAAAUGGAGCGCAAAACAUCUUAAUGUUACAGAAGAGUGGGAACGGAGGAGAGAGGAACUCUAUUAACAUCAGAGAGUGAUUCAUAACUAAAAACAACCCUCCAGAACAAAACAGGCAGCGCUUUCUGUAUGACAGAA